AAUCUCUUGGGGCUCCUUUAGGACCAGCUUGGAGCUUGUUCCACUUUGGACACCUGGCCUCCACAUCCCUGGUCAGGCUUUUCCAAACUAGACCCAGAGGACAGGUCUGUAGAUAGCCACAACUGCCAUAACUGUGAAAAGUAUACUGGCCUAGGACUCAAGUUCUAACCCCAGGUCAGCUACUCCUUCUCUGUGUGACCCAGGCAAGGGAGUCCCCCUCUGGGUCCACUUCUGUUUCUAGUGAAGGAAGUGCUCGGUCAAGUCAGUGUUUGUCCAAAAAUGAGACAUGUACAAGUAUUGGUACCUGAGGUUUUUAGGUGGUGUGCACUAGAGUAAAUAUCACUGUAUCAGGAGGUUGGUCCCCUUUUAAUUAUUAUUUUUUGAGACAGGGUCUCACUGUUGGCCAGGUUGGAGUACACUGGUACAAUCAUAGCUUACUGCAGCUUCAACCUCCUGGGCUGAAGCAUUCCUCCUGCCUCAGCCUCCCAAGUAGCUAGGACUAUAGGCAUGCACCACCACACUCAGCUAUUUAAAAAAAUUUUUUUUUUUUUUUUUGUAUGGAGAUGAGGGGGGGUCUCACUAUGUUGCUAGGGCUGGCCUUGAACUCCUGGCCUUGAACAAUCUUCCUAGCUAGGCUUCCCAAAGUGCUAAGAUUACAGGCAUGAGCACCACACCCAGCCUAAUUGUUUUUUAAUCUUUCUGACUACAAAUUGAGAAGCUCUCAGUUUGGUUUUGUUGGGGUUUUUUUAUUUUUUUAUUUUUUUUGAGACGGAGUCUCGCUCUGUUGCCCAGGCUGGAGUGCUGGAGUACAGUGGCACGAUCUCGGCUCACUGCAAGCUCCGCCUCCUGGGUUCACUCCAUUCUCCUGCCUCAGCCUCCCGAGUAGCUGGGACUACAGGCGCCUGCCACUACGCCCGGCUAAUUUUUUGUAUUUUUUAGUAGAGACGGGGUUUCACUGUGUUAGCCAGGAUGGUCUCGAUCUCCUGACCUUGUGAUCCGCCCGCCUUUGCCUCCCAGAGUGCUGGGAUUAUAGGUGUGAGCCACCGCGCCUGGCCAGCUCUCAGUUUGGUUUUAAAAAAAGGACUUCUUGGGCAGGUUGCAGUGGCUCACACACACACCUGUAAUCUCAGCACUUUGGGAGGCUGAGGCAGGUGGAUCACCUGAGGUUGAGAGUUCGAGACCAGGCUGACCAACAUGGAGAAACCCUGUCUCUACUAAAAAUGCAAAAUUAGCCAGGCGUGGUGGCACAUGCCUGUAAUCCCAGCUACUUGGGAGGCUGAGGCAGGAGAAUUGCUUGAACCUGGGAGGUGGAGGUUGUGGUGAGCCGAGAUUGCUCAUGGCACUCGAGCCUGGGCACCAAGAGUGAAACUCUCUCUCAAAAAAAAAAAAAAAAAGUACUUCUCUAACACUUCUCAUCUCCAUUUUUAGAAAAGAGUCAGAAAGUGGAUCUCAGGUCAGGGCCUCCUUCAGGCAACAACAUCUAGGCAAGAUUUAAUGACGUUUCAUUUUCACUACUUACUUAUUUACUUUAUUUAUUUAUUUAGUCUCGCCCUGUCGCCCAGGCUGGCAUGCAGUGGCACAAUCUCCGCUCACUGCAACCUCUGCCUCCUGGGUUCAAGCAAUUCUCCUGCCUCAAUCUCCCGAGUAGCUGGGAUUACAGGCGCCUACCACCACAUCCGGCUAAUUUUUGUAUUUUUA
rnacentral:lncRNA from 10 species